AUUGGGAUUAUGUUUCAUCGCUAUGGCAUUUUUGAUGCCUUUACUUUAGGUUGAUUUGAAUGACACUAAUGACAUUCACAUCGUAUUUGAUGAGGUAGAUGAAGUGAACUUCAAUAAAAACUUAUUGAAGUGCAGGGGAGCUGUUCAUACUGUGCAAAAGGUGGUUUAUUCCAUGGCAAAGGCGUGUAUG